UACAGAGGUCUCAAGCGUUGUUCGGAUUCAUUGGGCGUAAAGGGUGCGUAGGCGGCGCGGUAAGUCGGGUGUGAAAUCUCGGAGCUUAACUCCGAAACUGCAUUCGAUACUGCCGUGCUUGAGGACUGGAGAGGAGACUGGAAUUUAUGGUGUAGCAGUGAAAUGCGUAGAUAUCAUAAGGAAGACCAGUGGCGAAGGCGGGUCUCUGGACAGUUCCUGACACUGAGACACGAAGGUCAGGGGAGCAAACGGG
rnacentral:rRNA from 1 species